rnacentral:ncRNA from 1 species
AUAAAUAAAUUUUAUAUGGUUUAAAAAAUUUAUUUUAAAUUUAUUUUACAUAUAAAUUUUAGUAUAUAAUAAUAAUUAUUUUAAAAAUAAUUAUUAUUUAAAUGUAGUAAUUAAUAUUAAAAAUUUAAUAAAUUAAGAUUUAGUAAUAUUGAAAUUAUUAACAAAUUUUGUGCCAGCAGUUGCGGUUAUACAAAAGUUAAAUUAAAUUUUAUUAGUUAAAUUAAUAAUUAAUUAUUUAUUAAAUUAAAAUUGAAAUUAUUAAGUGAAAUUUUAAUUAUAAAUUAAUUUAUUUAUAAAUAUUUAUGAAUUUAAUAAAUUUUAAUAAUAAACUAGGAUUAGAUACCCUAUUAUUUAAAAUUUAAAUUUAAAAUACUAAAAUAGUAUAUAAUUAUUUAUUGAAACUUAAAUAUUUUGGCGGUAUUUUAGUUUAUUUAGAGGAAUCUGUUUAUUAAUUGAUAAUCCACGAAUAAAUUUACUUAAUUUAUUAUUUUGUAUAUCGUUGUUAAAAAAAUAUUUUUAAAAAAUUUAUAAUAUUUUAAAAUUAUAAUAAAAAUUAAAUCAAAUCAAGAUGCAGAUUAUAAUUAAGAAUAUAAUGGAUUACAAUAAAUUUAUUUAAAUGAAUUUUAAUUUGUAAAAAUUAAAUGAAGGUGGAUUUAAAUGUAAAUUUUUUUUAAUUUUUAAAAUUGAUUAAAAAUUAAAAUAUGUACAUAUUGCCCGUCGCUUUCAUAUAUAAAUUGAAAUAAGUCGUAACAAAGUAGAGGUACUGGAAAGUGUUUCUAGAAAGAA